rnacentral:misc_RNA from 1 species
UUUCCGUAGGUGAACCUGCGGAAGGAUCAUUAUUGUAUAACCGAGGUGCGAGGGCUGUCGCUGACCCGAAAGGGCGUGCACGCCCGAGUGCCCUCACACACAUCCAUCUCACCCCUAUGUGCACCACCGCGCGGGUCCCCCUUUGGCUUGUUCGGAGGGGGGCUUACGUUUUCCCACAAACUUUGUAUGCAGUGUAGAAUGUAUUUUUUGUUUUUGCGAUCACGCAAUCAAUACAACUUUCAACAACGGAUCUCUUGGCUCUC